AUGGACUGUUCAGGCAAGGUCCAUCAUUUUCUGUGGCGGUUUGGGCACAACAGUCACCCUCUGCACAUGAAUAUUGAACUUAGGGGAGUCGAACUGGACAGAAGAUGCGCGGCAUGCGACCGCUUCUUUGAGGAUGAUGGUCGCUUCUUCUUCAUAUGCAAAUUAGUUAAGGCUCUAUGGUGGGAGACAGGUCUUGAAGGCGAGCGCCAAGCUAAUGGGGGCAUUCGCCCCUUCAAGUGUUGGACCCAACAGAAGCGUUUGGUGCACUGGGCUUCAACCGGGUCAGCCCCGAAUAUCCCGUCUGAUCCUCCCCGAUCCACGGGGCUUUCCAGCAUCGAGGGGUACCUCGCGUCUCACACGCCUCAUGCGGGAGGGAGAAGAGACGCGGCCGCGGUCACAAGAGACGGCGAGAACCGCGCGCAGCCGCCGUCGUCGCUGCUAACGCCGUCGGACGCCUGCUUCCUCUUCUUCCUAGGGAAAGCUGGCCUUCUCCCCCGAGGUACACCACCCCCUCCCCCUCCCUCAUCUUCGUCUAGGGUUUCCGCCGCCAGUCCUCCGUUCGCCUCGUCCUCCCCGGCGAGCUCGCCAAGCACAUCGUCACUGAGAGCCACCACCGGCUCCUCUCCCUUUUCCAGCACCACCGCUGUGAGAGGCCCUUCCUGUUGUUCAUCUGCCUGCUUCCCCAUCACAUUCCUCCUCCCCCUGUUUGAAGUUAGUUGA
rnacentral:rRNA from 1 species